AAAAUUUACCUAUUAGUGAAGAGGCUAAUAUUUCGUUAAAAGACAAGAAGACCCUAUAGAGCUUCCCGUACCCUUUAUAAUAAAAGAUUACCGGUUUUGUUGGGGCGACAAGGGAAAAAGAAAAACUUCCCUCAUUCCAAGGCUUAUAGGCCUCUAUCAUUACCCUUAAAAAAGGAUUUAAAAAAGCUACCUUAGGGAUAACAGGCUAAUUCUUCUUAAGAGCUCUUAUCGACAGAAGAGAUUGGCACCUCGAUGUUGGCUUAAGGUACCUAUUUGGCGCAGAAGUUAAAUAAGGUGGUUUGUUCAACCAUUAAACCCUU
rnacentral:rRNA from 1 species